AUCACAAACCCUCUAAUCGGCAAGUUUUCAACAGCAACUGAGAACCAGAAACCACUGAACCAUUGGAAUGCAGAAACCACUAUCAGCUGACCAUAACAGCGAAUCCUUACAACCAGGAGAUCACAAACUGAUAAGAAAUUGGGAUCGGAGGAAAUUAGGAGAACGGUGGAAGGAGCCCAUCCCAGUACUAUUAACUACACCUACAGCAGUGAAGGUCGAAAAUAAUCCUCGUUGGAUACACCUAAUUUAUUGCGAAAGAAUUGGAAACUGGAAAAAGGAAGUAUGAACGUGGAUGUCCUCCUGCAAGACUGGAGGCAGUGCAACAACAGUCCCUCUGCCAUCGUGCCCCAUCGACACUAGUCCCACCUGCUAACAUUUGGCCCACAUCUCUAAACCUAUCCCAUCCAUGAAACUGUCCAAUCUUCAAUGAAAAUCCAUAUUCACGAUUUCACAAGGAGCAAGUGAGAUUAUGUAGCAAGAAAUAUGACAAUAAACAGGAAUGAAAUAGGAUGAAUGCAAAAUGUGUGGAAAGUUAAUAUUUCCACUCAGUGAACUUGCAUUAGAACUAGAACGCAGUCUUUAAAAGUAGAGGCAAAAGAUGGAACAAGAGAAAGUGGAUUUGGAAUAAAGCAGGAGGU